GCAAAAGGCUCCACCACAUCUCAUCUCAGAACAAGCCUACCACUGACUAGACCAGUAAUAAAUUUACCGCCGGACGACUCCCGAGGCUGUCUGGAGCGUUCUUUCCCUGCUCUCCCUGUAGAUCAUGGUACUCACCAUUACUAGUGGCACAUUCUUUUAGAAGUCGCCGUUUCAAUUAGUUUGGCUUCUUCAGUCUCAACUCCAUCAAAAAGCUCUGCUAUGACAAGAAGUUGAAUACCUAAUGGGUAUUGUGGAAAAUCAGAUGCACACUUUCUGGUUCAACAAGUGAUGGAGGAUUCCAGAGCCAAACAAAAAAAAUGUUCAUCAAGUUGCUCGGCUGCUUGCGGGCAUGAUCGAUACACGGGACAACGUUUCUUAAGCUAUGUUUGAGUGGUCUCAGUCUCUUGACUUGUUUUGUUGCUAUGUUUAUUUGCACUCGUGGCAAACUUAGAUGCAUUGUGUACAUAAUAUUCUUUGUUGGUGUAUUUAUUGUCACUUGUGACCAACUUUGAUGCCGAGUGAAUGUAAUUUGCUGCAAUGUCUUAUUUCAAACAACAUGUUUAUUGUCAAUUACUACAAAUUGAACGAAACAUGUGACGGGCUGAGAGGUCCACUAGCCGUUAACUUGCCAAAAGGACCAUGUGCCUUUAAUAGGUCAACAACCACGGGUCCUUAAUGUUGGAAAACGUUGCAUAGAAAA